rnacentral:lncRNA from 1 species
GAAUAUAAGCUCCAUGAGGUCAGAGCUUGUGUCUGUUUUGUUCACUGCUGAAUCUCCAGCCUCCAGAACAAAGCUUAUCACAUAAUAGGCACUUGAUAUACAUUGGCUAAAUCAAUAAAUUACUAGGAAGUCAAAUUUUUUGCCCAAUUGGAUUUUGAGAGCCAGCCAGAUCUUUUUUAUGUAAACUAAAGAGAGUUUAUAAAGCAAAGUAUCAGAACCAACUGGUGGGUUGAACUCUACCCCCCAAAUUUGGAUUCUGUGGAUCUGGCAUGAGACCUGAGGAUCUGCAGUUUCCAAUAAGUUCCUAGACCAUUCUAAUGCUGGAGGCAGAGGAAACACUUUAAAAAACACUGCUUUUUCAGAAACUGAAACUCAAUAGCAUCAUGAAAUGCUGGGGAUGGAUAUGAAUUAUGAGCAUCUGGCCUUAGCUCAUGACUUAGUACAUCUGCUAUAUUGUAAUUAACCUGCAAGAGCAAAUGUGGUAGAGUACUGGAUUGGUAGGGCAGUAAGUAAUUUCCUUGAUGCUCUCCCAACAAAUUAAGGAGAGUGCUGAGUCCCCACAGGCUGUCAUUUCAUUCAGGUAUGUUCAACAUGGACCUUCUUCAUAGCAGUAGACUCGCAUAAAGCAAGCCCUGACCCUCCCCAGAGUGUCUUUGUUAACAUGAUGAAUGAAUGGAAAUUUUCCCAUUGGAAGGCUGUUAGAAUCUUUCUAAAAGAUUCUCUAAUGCAGCAUUAAAAAAAAAAAAAAGCAUUUUAGUUAUUGAGACAGUAAGAUUUAGCCCUUCUGCAGUGUCUUUCAUCCUGACAAUUCUUCGCAAAUAUUAACUAAUGCCUCAGGCAAUCCUUGGAGGCAAGUUAUACUGUCUGAAUUUUGUUUUUUAAAGAUUAGAGAUGAGGUUUAGCUUCUGUCUCAUGUUUUUGUGGCCUGGCCUCUCUCUUUUUUGGUCUGUUUAUUCACUGGGAGGGAGAUGGGAUUCAGGCCUUAAAAGUCAGAUUCUCCCACUGCUUAGUAAUCUCUUGAGAUAGGUUAUUUCCUGCCUUAAUUAUUUCCAACAGUCCUAUUUUUGUGUGUGUGUGCAAUGAUUAGUUACUAAGGCAAGGAUCUUAAGGACUCUGACAUUUUUUAUUAUGCAGUAGGGGUGAACUUACAGGAAAACAAGUCUUGGUUUUAGAGCCAUUCUUUUCUGUUAAAAAAAGAAUAACCAAAGAGAUAUAUGCAAAACUGACAGCAAAAUAACCACAACUCUUUUGACCUAGAAAUGUUUUCAAUAAUGUGCUUACUGAAUUUAGUAAGUACAUGGUUAAAUUAGUUUAUAACUUCUAAGUGUAUUCUUACAUUUUGAUAGGGUAGGAAAUCCAUUACCAGAGAGAAUAUCUUUUAUUGGAUAAAAGAGCACAAAACCAGAGUCCAGAGAAUCACAAAGAAUAUUUCCUUGAUUCUCCACUUUACUAAAUCCACCUUUAACAGUAAAGAUAGGGUAGCUCCUCUUUCUAGUCUUUCUUCUUUUUCCUUCAUUUGUAUAUUUGUGGAGUGCCUAGUAUAGGCUAGGUAAUUGUCUAGUUGCUGGGAUUAAGGCAGUGUACAAAACAAAUGUUCUGGCCUCAUGGAUUUGGAUUAUAGUAGAGGGGAAUCGUUACACAAAACUGUAGGUGUGUAUCCAAAUGAGGAGGGGAUAAACGCUGUGUAAACAUUAAGACAGAGCUCUCAGAUAAGAUGCUACUUGCCGCAGGGAGGAAGUGUGGUAGUGAAAAACUGGAUAUUUGAGGGAAGAGCAUUCUAGCAAGAGGAAAAUUAGGGGUCAGGAAAUGAGGGAGAAGAAGAGCUAACAUUCAAGAGCAACAGGGGGGUGAUGGACAGUAGUGUGAGUCAGGUGUGAAGAGGUACUGGAUAAAAUGAGAGGCGAGGGAGUCUAUAGAGAUACAGGUCGAGCCUCUUCUUUUUAAAUUUCCCACAAAGUAGUUGGAGGGUUACCAUAGGUAGGAGACCUAAUGAAUAUGUCUUUGACUUUUACAAGGUAUUGUCCAGAAGUGGGUAGAAGAACUAAGAUAUGUUAACUUUUUCCUGGAAUAAUUACAGAUUGAAAAUACAGAUAGUUUCAAAAUUAUGUUAUAUGUUUAAAAUUUAUUUUAUAUCAUAGAAUUAGAAAUUUAAGACCUCAAGCUUAACUUCUUACUAUCAAAAAGCCUAGGUUGCAUCUGUAAGGAUUAUGCCCCUUAAAGGGAAUCACAAUGAGAAUUUGUGUAUAGAAUUCGGCCCUCUCUGUGCCUUUCCAUCAUAUCCUCCCACUACACCCAUUCUGUAUGCACUAAGAUUGAGUUUGAACUUAUAUUACUACCUAUAAACAAUGAUAUAGGAAUUUUGUUGUAGAUUAAAUCCUUUGUUAGCAGUACAUUUUAAAAGGAACUAAUAUGUUUUUGACCAUUAUGAUUAGAGUAAUCACCCCAUUGGAAUGCAUGUACAGUAGAGACAAAGGGAAUUAAAACUAUGAAGGCUGAUUAUGCCAUUUCAUUUUAUGAAUAUUUAAUGUUAUACUCCAGAAGCACCAUAGUAUGAAAAUACGCUAGGGUUUCCUUUAUGACUUUUGCAGAUUUAAGCUGGACUUAACAUGUUGACUUGCAAUAAAUAGUGACAUAAAUCAGGAAAAUAGCCAGUCUAAUUUUGAUUGGCAGAAUUAAUGUCUUUAAAUCUAUUUUUCAUAGUUCUCUGCUUCUUAUGUCUUCCAAUGUGGUUUCCCUACAUAAAAUGAGGAAACAUCAUUGAAUUUUAUUUAUGAGUAAUUUAUUUUGUAUUGGUUUUUCAUUAUAUUCUCACAGGGUGUCUUGAGGUUUGAGGUUAUUUUUAUUAUGCAUUUGAUAUUCAUGUGGUAUACUUGUAAGUGUAGAACUCUGAAUGGGUUCGGCUGUACAGAAGAAGAUCAGACUUGCCUAAAACAAUGAUAUGUACUUUGCUCAUGGUAUGAGGCAGUGGAACCCUCCCUGGAAAGAUGAUUUGAAGGUUUUCUUUUCCAGUAGAAAUGAUCAGCUGUCUUAUUCCAUCCAUCCAUUCAUUCAACCACCCAUCCAUCUAUCCAUCUAUCCAUCCAUCUUCUCUGACAUUAUUCCCCUCAAAACCAAGACAAGUCCACAUUCCUCAGCAGAGCAUUCAAAGUCUUUUAAAUCUGAGCCCAGCCAUCCUCCCAGUUUUCAAUUCUUCUGGCUUAUUCUUAUUUGUCCAACCUUCCAACUGCAUAAGAAGCAAAGUUCCAGGUUGUGGGCUCCUCCCUUCAGAGGCUUUUCAUUUUAAGUCUGUCUUUUCUCUUGCUCCAUUGGUAUAAAAUCGCCACCUACACACACACACAAAUACAUUUUCACACAGGGGCACACGCACACCUUCCAAUAUUUAGGAAAAUCCUGCUCAUUGUACAAGGCCUGAUUCAAAGGUUGCUCCUCAGAGCAACAUUCUUGCCUGACUUAAGAGAAUAAACUUCUUUCCUUUUCAUACUGUUAUGUUACUUAAUACAGUCUUAUUUGGAUUUUAGUCUUUAUGCCUUUGCCCAUCAAAUAUGAAAACUGACACCAGGGGUUGGAUCACAUUCAUCUUUUUGCCUAGCAGUUCCCCUAUUCUUUUCAUAUAACAAUUUUCAGUUGAAUGUUUAUUGAAAUAAAAUAAAAAUAAAAAUAAUGAUUCUUCUCUCCUUGUAUUUAGAAGAUAUUGUAUCUAUUGCUUUAAAAAAAAAAACUAACAACAAUGAUAACCAAUACAUUUUGACAUAGUUAUUCACAUCAUAGAAAUUUACAUUUCUAUGUAUAUUUACAGAAAUUCAACUCUAUAGAUCAAGAUCAGUUUUUGGAAAUCAGAAGCAAGCAAAUAGAGAAGGAGGAAGAGAGAGAGAGAAGAUAACAACUUUCAUAGUGUGGGGAAAAUUUCACUAGUGCCACCAUUAAGCACAGUCCCGGGGAAAGCAGGAGAAAAGAGAUAGAGUCAGUUUCACCUCCAGUUCCUGUGAUGCCUCAUGGAGUGUGAGCCUCUUGCUGUGUUGAAUAGGAUUCUAGGGUGUAAAGGUAUGCAUUUUUCAUGUAACAUGGUCUCUGAGGAGCCAACCACUUUAUUUGGUACAGUCAUCUAUCCUAGAUCUGGACAUGGCAUGUCCCUACCACCAUCAAGCCUUUCUAACAGGAUUUAGGAGUAAUUUUAACUUUACAUAAUUUUGCUUCAUAUCCUGACUUUUGAACUCUACUGCCACACGAGAUAGUCAACUCCACAGUAAUCUGACAGCACUAUGGUACAAAGAACAGGUCAUAUUUCUGAUAGGGUAACUAAAUUUAUGUUUUCAAAAGGUAAUAGAAGAAGUAGAUGAUUUUAAGUAGAGCCACAAAGAUAGUUAAUACAUAUAAAAGAUGAAUAUCUAAGAAGGAUUUAAUCAUUAUAAUUAUUCCUUCUGUUGUGGCAAUGAAGGUUAGAUGGAUGUCUCAAUAAAGGUCUUUAAACAGAUUUUGAUUUCUUUUACAGAAAAUGAUGACCAGGAGUUCCUGUCGUGGUGCAGUGGUUAACGAAUCCGACUGGGAAUCAUGAGGUUGCGGGUUCGAUCCCUGGCCUCCCUCAGUGGGUUAAGGAUCCGGCGUUGCCGUGAGCUGUGGUGUAGGUUGCAGACGCGGCUUGGAUCCCGCGUUGCUGUGGCUCUGGCGUAGGCCGGUGGCUACAGCUCAGAUGGGACCCCUAGCCUGGGAACCUCCAUAUGCCGUGGGAGCGGCCUAAGAAAUAGC